GUCGAGGGGCAGCAUGGUCUUAGCUUGCUAAGGCCGAUGGCGACCGGCGCACGGGUGAGUAACACGUAUCCAACCUGCCGUCUACUCUUGGACAGCCCUCUGAAAGGAAGAUUAAUACAAGAUGGCAUCAUGAGUCCGCAUGUUCACAUGAUUAAAGGUAUUCCGGUAGACGAUGGGGAUGCGUUCCAUUAGAUAGUAGGCGGGGUAACGGCCCACCUAGUCUUCGAUGGAUAGGGGUUCUGAGAGGAAGGUCCCCCACAUUGGAACUGAGACACGGUCCAAACUCCUACGGGAGGCAGCAGUGAGGAAUAUUGGUCAAUGGGCGAGAGCCUGAACCAGCCAAGUAGCGUGAAGGAUGACUGCCCUAUGGGUUGUAAACUUCUUUUAUAAAGGAAUAAAGUCGGGUAUGCAUACCCGUUUGCAUGUACUUUAUGAAUAAGGAUCGGCUAACUCCGUGCCAGCAGCCGCGGUAAUACGGAGGAUCCGAGCGUUAUCCGGAUUUAUUGGGUUUAAAGGGAGCGUAGAUGGAUGUUUAAGUCAGUUGUGAAAGUUUGCGGCUCAACCGUAAAAUUGCAGUUGAUACUGGAUAUCUUGAGUGCAGUUGAGGCCAGGCGGAAUUCGUGGUGUAGCGGUGAAAUGCUUAGAUAUCACGAAGAACUCCGAUUGCGAAGGC
rnacentral:rRNA from 1 species